GAUGAAGAACGUAGCGAAAUGCGAUAAGUGAUGUGAAUUGCAGAAUUCAGUGAAUCAUCGAAUCUUUGAACGCACAUUGCGCCCGCCAGUAUUCUGGCGGGCAUGCCUGUUCGAGCGUCAUUUCAACCAUCAAGCCCCAGGCUUGUGUUGGGGACCUGCGGCUGCCGCAGGCCCUGAAAACCAGUGGCGGGCUCGCUGUCACACCGGGCGUAGUAGAUUUUAUCUCGCUCAGGGCGUGCUGCGGGUUCCGGCCGUUAAAAAGCCUUUUUUACCCAAGGUUGACCUCGGAUCAGGUAGGAAGACCCGCUGAACUUAAGCAUAUCAAUAAGCGGAGGA
rnacentral:misc_RNA from 1 species